AGGCUGACUCCGGAGCUAGAGAGGCACACAUUCGAGCGAGAAGCUACGUGGGUGCAAACAACACUCCAGUUUCUGCCCGGGAGGAGCCAGAUCUAACAACUAGUUUGCAAACCAGAGGAACCGCUGGUUUGAAGCGCUGGUUGAAGGCGUCUUGGCUGCCACGCCUUGGGGUUACUGCCGGGCAUCGCGCGGGCGGGGCGGGCGCUAGAAGGGGCACGUCCUUGGCCUCAGGAACCACCAUAGUGGAAACACUCAUAGCCAUCUGGAGAGGUCUGAGGCUCUCAACCACACCAGCCUCGCCAGCAGUAUAAAAGCGUCUGUGGUGGUCCUUCUGUUCUACAGAGUGCCCUCUUUCCUGGCAUCCCAAGAAUCUGGGGAGGGUCAAGGAGAAACUGAUUUUCAAAAAUACCCUUUCCUGCAGGAGUUCAAGCCCCUACCUACCUCUGUCCUCUGAAGUUGGACAAUGAUCCCCAAUGGGUGCAAACAGAAUACCUAUGUUUGACUGGGCUUUGUCACUAGGAACAGAAUGGAACUACAUACAAGGUGAUGGAAAUGCUAUUAAGAGAUGGGACCUAUACCUGACACUAUCAAUGAGGGUAAGAACCUGUAGCUAGAUUAGUGAAUUUUUCAACUCUCCUUAGAGAAGGUUCUUCUUGCAGUAGAUGGGUAUUAACACGGAGACCUACAAUUGACUCAGGGGC
ensembl:processed_transcript Lexis1 RIKEN cDNA 4930412L05 gene